rnacentral:rRNA from 1 species
UACGUAGGGUGCGAGCGUUAAUCGGAAUUACUGGGCGUAAAGCGUGCGUAGUCGGUUAUCUAAGUCGGGUGUGAAAUCCCCGGGCUCAACCUGGGAAUUGCAUUCGAUACUGGAUAGCUAGAGUUCGGCAGAGGGAAGCGGAAUUUCGGGUGUAGCGGUGAAAUGCGUAGAUAUCCGAAGGAACAUCAGUGGCGAAAGCGGCUUCCUGGACCAGAACUGACGAUCAGGCACGAAAGCGUGGGGAGCAAACAGG